CUUCACCGAACCGAGCCACAACGGCUCACCAGUGCGGUCGUUGCCGUAGGUGGCGAGCAACGCCUGCGCCUC
rnacentral:antisense_RNA from 1 species